rnacentral:snRNA from 1 species
AUAGUUCACUUCAGCAGCAUAUAUGCUAAAAUUGGAAUGCUGCAGAGAAGAUUAGAAUGUUACUUGCAUAAGGAUAAAACAAAAAUUUGUGAAGCAUCCUAUGGUUUU